rnacentral:rRNA from 1 species
UUGACCUCGGAUCAGGCAGGGAUACCCGCUGAACUUAAGCAUAUCAAUAAGCGGAGGAAAAGAAACCAACAGGGAUUGCCUCAGUAACGGCGAGUGAAGCGGCAACAGCUCAAAUUUGAAAUCUGGCUCUUUUAGGGUCCGAGUUGUAAUUUGUAGAGGAUGCUUCGGCGUCGGCUCCGGUCUAAGUUCCUUGGAACAGGACGUCAUAGAGGGUGAGAAUCCCGUAUGUGAUCGGUUGCCCUUGCCAUGUGAAGCUCCUUCGACGAGUCGAGUUGUUUGGGAAUGCAGCUCUAAAUGGGAGGUAAAUUCUUCUAAGCUAAAUACUGGCCAGAGACCGAUAGCGCACAAGUAGA